UACGUAGGGUGCAAGCGUUAAUCGGAAUUACUGGGCGUAAAGCGUGCGCAGGCGGUUAUGUAAGACAGAUGUGAAAUGCCCGGGCUUAACCUGGGAACUGCAUUUGUGACUGCAUGGCUAGAGUUUGGCAGAGGGGGGUAGAAUUCCACGUGUAGCAGUGAAAUGCGUAGAUAUGUGGAGGAAGACCGGUGGCGAAGGCGGCCUGCUGGGCAGUUACUGACACUGAUGCGCGACAGCGUGGGGAGCAAACAGG
rnacentral:rRNA from 1 species